GGCGCUUGCGCGCAUUCUUCCUGUCUAUGGUUCGUGAAGUGUGCGUUGUUGUACGUAUCGCAAGAUCCGUACAACAACCGGAUCCGGAUUUGUAAAGCAGCAAGAAUUAUAAAUGUGCUUUUCAAAUGGUUGUUCUUCAUGUCGCAGUGCACAUUUAGCAAAAAGUUCCAUGGAAAUUGCCCUAAAACGUAUUCAUGUUACCAACAGCUCUAUCUGUGGUUUAUUUACUUUCACCUAUGAAGCACGCUAGCGCGGGUGGUUCUUUGAUCUAAAUGGGCACAAAAAUUCAAGCAAAGAAAGUUACUGUUUGUGUACAUAAUUUUUCAUUAAGAAAUGGUAUAGUCAUUUCUAGAAGUAGUACGUCGAUGUGUCGUCGUCACAGCUAACAGCUGCGCGAGAUAGCACCCGAUUUCUUCGUCGACGCAUGGCCAGAUUUUUAGCUUGGAUGGCAAGAUUUUGUGAACCAGAGGCACCUCCACAUAUGCACCUGCGGCACUUCUGCAGCCUCAACAGCACGGAAAAGUACCUGAUGUGCAUGCUGUGACAAGCUGCUGUAGGUAUGGCUGGACCUGGAGAAGAAGUGUAAGCAGACCAUGCUAUGUUGCUGAUCUGCGCUGAUCUCCACAUCCAAGUUGGUCCCGCGACAGUUGGGCACCAUUGUGCCUUGCUUCAUUGACAAGGCGAUAUAAUAUGGUGCCCUGCUCGCUCUCACCCAAGCAACCCACUCCAGCGGUCUUCUCUCGGCAGACUGGAUGCAUCGAAAUACCGUUAGAAGGUCCAAUAAACAGUGCUUUGGACAUUUA